ensembl:lncRNA
GAUAAAUAAGACACUCAUAGCUUUCAUAGUCUGAGGCAUUUAGACAUAGAGUUCAAAAAUACCUAAGUUAGAGUCCGGCUCACUCUGCCCACUUGUGACCAGGAGACCAAACCAGUGAGGACUCCCCACACAUGACCACCAGCUGCCAGUUUAGCUGUGCACUGGGGCAGAGUAGGAGGUGGCUGAGUGUGCCCUACUCAAUCCAGCUUGCUCCUCCUACUUAAGACCAGGAGACCAAAUCGGUGAGGAUCCCCUGGGCAUGCCCACCAGCUGACAGCUUAGCCACAUGGGCACUUGCAAAAACAGCCCCCCGCCCCGUUGGCUGUACAGUUGCUUGGAUCCACACUACAGAGGCACAGAGGGGCAUAAAGUCCACUGUCCUAAGCUGCAGAAGUGAACAACAGAGAGAGGGCCUCUCUCAGGCUCCCUGAUGAAAACUGAAACCCACUGGAAAAGUGAAGAGAAUCUCUACAAUAAAGGCUCACCAGACAACCUUAAUUGUGCCUGAAACCUAUAAGAAACUGGAUAAUUAUGAAGCGAAUGAUUCAGCAGCUAAAAUGACCACUUCUCCUCAGGAAGAUCAAGGCAAGCUUCCUGCAUACAGAUGGGUUUCAAAGGAUGAAUAAAAGUUUGCUAUCUUAAAUGAAUAACUGAGGAGACACCAUUUUAGAAAAAGACAGUGGCAUUUGGAAAGACAAGAAGUUUAAGAGGAUGCUGAGAAAUGGAGUGAUUCACCAGCGACUCAAGGGUCAAAGAGAAGACCAUGAGAGGCUACUGCUCUUCUCCUGGGGCUUUCCACAGGCUCUGGAAGUCACCUAUGUCCCUCCUAUUCCUAAUCACCACAUGGCUUCAAGUUGACUCUGGACGGGUCUUUCACAGCGUCAACUCACACCAUGAAAGAGCAGCUCUAGGCUAAGAGAACAGAACAAUAGCAAUUAAUAUUCAGUACAUGAGGCAAGGGAGAAGGAUUAAAAGUGCUGGAAUUUUAUAUAGGCUUAGGUUUUAGCCAAAACUAGGAAGAACUUUGAUUGUAGCAUUUAUUAAGUAGAUGACAUUGAGAAAAAACUCAACCAUCUGAAAAACC